GAUGAACGCUAGCGGCAGGCUUAAUACAUGCAAGUCGAGGGGCAGCAGUUUUGUAGCAAUACAGAAGCUGGCGACCGGCAAACGGGUGCGGAACACGUACGCAACCUUCCUUUAACUGGAAGAUAGCCCACCGAAAGGUGGAUUAAUACUCCAUAACAUAUUGAAGAGGCAUCUCUUUGAUAUUAAAGCUCCGGCGGUUAAAGAUGGGCGUGCGUCUGAUUAGGUAGUUGGCGGGGUAGCGGCACACCAAGCCUUCGAUCAGUAGCUGAUGUGAGAGCAGGAUCAGCCACACGGGCACUGAGACACGGGCCCGACUCCUACGGGAGGCAGCAGUAAGGAAUAUUGGUCAAUGGACGCAAGUCUGAACCAGCCAUGCCGCGUGGAGGAUGAAGGCCCUCUGGGUUGUAAACUUCUUUUCUUUGGGACGAAACCCCUGUUUCUACGGGGACUGACGGUACCAGAGGAAUAAGCACCGGCUAACUCCGUGCCAGCAGCCGCCGUAAGAC
rnacentral:rRNA from 1 species